rnacentral:rRNA from 1 species
UACGUAGGGGGCGAGCGUUGUCCGGAAUGACUGGGCGUAAAGCGUGCGUAGGCGGCCUUACGCGUCUGAGGUUUAAGACCACGGCUCAACCGUGGGGGUGCCUUGGAAACGGUGAGGCUUGAGUGCUGGAGAGGCAAGGGGAAUUCCACGUGUAGCGGUGAAAUGCGUAGAGAUGUGGAGGAAUACCUGUGGCGAAGGCGCCUUGCUGGACAGUGACUGACGCUGAGGCACGAAAGCGUGGGGAGCAAACAGG